GCUGUGACGAACCGCAUACUGCUGCCAUGAAAAAAGACGUAUAACACACAGGCAGAAUCAACUAUGACAAGUCCACCUGUCUUAAAGAGGGACCCAUUGUCAAUCUCUACACAGUGGUGAUCUCCAGAGGUUCACUGUCCUGUCAAGUUCUACACCAGUUUCUCAGUGGGGCAAAGGCUUGGGGCAGUGCAAUUACAGGUAGGAACGAAAUUUCAUUUUUUAUUGAUGUGAACACCUGUUUCCUAAACUGGAACUCCUGUUCAGCAUUACUCUUGUCAAAGAUGAGUAUAAAGGUGCAUUUCACUGUCCCCAGUAGAGGGCAGUGUGGGUAUUCAUCAAGGCCGGACGUGUGUGUUUGUGUGUGUGUGUCUGUACGACCCCCCAGUGAUUACAGUGUUUGAGCAAAGCUGUGUUGUAUUUGGUUGACUUUGUGGCACUUAGUAAAUAAGCUGCAGGGUAGCAUUAGAGGCCCCCCACACCCACCCCUUACUUACGUCUAGAGUUCCCUAUGCACCUGUAAGGACAACAAAACACACAAAAUUAUAAUACAUCACAUUUCUUAUUGAUCUAACAAACCUUGGCUGCAGAUUAGAUAGUUGAGAUCCCAGUGCUAGAUGCAGGUGCAUGUCUAAGCCUAAAAGCAGGUGUUCGUAACCACUUAUAUGUGAUAUAUUCAUAUAG